rnacentral:tRNA from 1 species
GGGGUUGUGGCUCAGCGGUAGAGCGCUUACUCGUCUAGCACAGGAGAGGUGCUGGGUUCGAUCCUCAGCACCCCA